rnacentral:lncRNA from 1 species
GAAAAUACGUAUUAACAUUUCAUGACAUUCAACAACGGUAGAUACUUAACCUGGAAAAAAACAACAAUACGACGUCGUACCACUAGCACACCUGCAUGAGCGGCAACCCACAGAGACAAUCAUUAUUACUAAACGACGACGCUUCAAGAUGAUCAAACGGAAACCCUACCGGAAUCUUCCCACACAGGCGGUUAUUACUCAGAUCCAAAUGCCCAAUAUACUUCGCCGCCGAUAACGACUUCGGAAUCGCACCUUUCAGCCGAUUAUUACUCAAAUCAAGCACCGAAAAAUACGUCAUCGGAGUAAAAACAUCCGGUAGUUUUCCGGUGAGCUGGUUGCCGAUAAGGUCAAGAAUGCGGAGGUGAGGUAAGGCGGUGGUACACGCCGGAAUCCCGCCGGAGAUUCCUUUCCAGUCGGCGACGAUGAGUGACGUCAGCCGGUCUAGUUGACAUAACGAAGGGGAGAGUGAACCGGUCAUGUAACCGGACCGGCCGGUUUGGGUAAAUAUCUUAUCUUCAGACUCGCCACGUAGGAUAAUAUCGUUGACCCGGCUAUCAGUCGGGUCGCAGCUUACACCGUACCAGUUAGUGCAACAGUCGGAUCCGGUCCAUGUGUUAAAAAUGCCUAAAUAGGGCUCGGUCAGGGUGGACUUGAAGGAUAAUAAUGCUGCCCGGUCUGAUGGCGGGCAAGAGGUGACCACGGUGGAGGUUGCGGCGGCGAUGAGGACUGCCACCGCCACGUGUACGCCGGUAAAGAGAACAAACAGGCAGUGUCACACACAAGCCAAACAAAGACCCAGCAAUCAAAAUUCAAAGAUUCAGCAAUAAAAGGAACUUAAUGAAAAAGAUCUCAAGUCUCGUUGUUAUAGUCUUCAAGAUGCAUUGAAGUAUAAAGACAAAUCCGAUGUUGAUGCUGAUGAACUUUAUAUGGAGUUGAAAUUGUUUGAGACAUUUUUACCUAGUCAUAUUGUUUGCCCUUUUGAUGCUUUCAACAGUUUAAAGAAGAUUGUUUUUUUUUUCCUAAUGCAUUAAUUGCAUAUGGAGUGUUGUUAACUAUUCCCGUAACAGUAGCAUAAGCAGAAAGAAGCUUUUCGAAGUUGAAGUUGUUAAAGACUUACUUACGAUCUAGUAUGUCCCAAGAAAGACUCAAUGGAUUAGUGAUGAUAUCUAUUGAAAACGACAUAUUAGAGAAUAUGGAUUAUGAAGAGUUAAUCGAAAGCUUUGCUUCAAAAAACGCUAGGAGAGCCGCACCAUUCGCUUAAGUAGGUAAUCGCAAUAGAGUAUUUUAAGAAGCUUAUUAGAGGAGACGAGGCACCCCGUUAUGAAGGGCUGGCCACGCGUCGACAUCCGUGAGGCGUGAUACACCACCGCCACCAUGUCUUAUAAUGCGUGAAAUGGAUAACGCGUGGCCAUGAUCACGCGUGAAGGAUUGAAGGUGUUGUACAUGUUCGAUGAUGGAGAUGAGUGUGUGGUGAGUGAUGGGCAUUUCCACUAAAAUCCAUCACUAAUGAUGGAAUGAAGCUCGAUGACAUAACGGAAUUGAUUGGAUGUUGUAAGUGAUGGAAUUCCAUCACUAGUGGAGCGCCCCUACCCCCUUAAGGUGUUUAGAAGAGUCUUAUUGGAUGUAGUCAAUUAUACUUCUAAGCUUUAGUGGUUUUGUUGAAACUCAUGUAAGUAAAAUAAACUAAAUUUUUGCUACCAAGUCUGCAUCAAUCGGUCACUUUAGCCUCAUCCUAUGUGGCGUGUGACAAUACACGGGUAAGUUGGAAAUUCAAACAAUCAAAUGAGUUCAUACAACUGAU